rnacentral:rRNA from 1 species
GGUUAAGUUAGAAAGGGCGCACGGUGGAUGCCUUGACACUAGGAGUCGAUGAAGGACGGGACUAACGCCGAUAUGCUUCGGGGAGCUGUAAGUAAGCUUUGAUCCGAAGAUUUCCGAAUGGGGAAACCCACCAUACGUAAUGGUAUGGUAUCCUUAUCUGAAUACAUAGGGUAAGGAAGACAGACCCAGGGAACUGAAACAUCUAAGUACCUGGAGGAAGAGAAAGCAAAUGCGAUUUCCUGAGUAGCGGCGAGCGAAACGGAACAUAGCCCAAACCAAGAGGCUUGCCUCUUGGGGUUGUAGGACAUUCUAUACGGAGUUACAAAGGAACGAGGUAGACGAAGCGACCUGGAAAGGUCCGUCGUAGAGGGUAACAACCCCGUAGUCGAAACUUCGUUCUCUCUUGAAUGUAUCCUGAGUACGGCGGAACACGUGAAAUUCCGUCGGAAUCUGGGAGGACCAUCUCCCAAGGCUAAAUACUCCCUAGUGAUCGAUAGUGAACCAGUACCGUGAGGGAAAGGUGAAAAGCACCCCGGAAGGGGAGUGAAAGAGAUCCUGAAACCGUGUGCCUACAAAUAGUCAGAGCCCGUUAACGGGUGAUGGCGUGCCUUUUGUAGAAUGAACCGGCGAGUUACGAUCCCGUGCGAGGUUAAGCUGAAGAGGCGGAGCCGCAGCGAAAGCGAGUCUGAAUAGGGCGUUUAGUACGUGGUCGUAGACCCGAAACCAGGUGAUCUACCCAUGUCCAGGGUGAAGUUCAGGUAACACUGAAUGGAGGCCCGAACCCACGCACGUUGAAAAGUGCGGGGAUGAGGUGUGGGUAGCGGAGAAAUUCCAAUCGAACCUGGAGAUAGCUGGUUCUCCCCGAAAUAGCUUUAGGGCUAGCCUUAAGUGUAAGAGUCUUGGAGGUAGAGCACUGAUUGGACUAGGGGUCCUCAUCGGAUUACCGAAUUCAGUCAAACUCCGAAUGCCAAUGACUUAUCCUUAGGAGUCAGACUGCGAGUGAUAAGAUCCGUAGUCAAAAGGGAAACAGCCCAGACCGCCAGCUAAGGUCCCAAAGUGUGUAUUAAGUGGAAAAGGAUGUGGAGUUGCUUAGACAACUAGGAUGUUGGCUUAGAAGCAGCCACCAUUUAAAGAGUGCGUAAUAGCUCACUAGUCGAGUGACUCUGCGCCGAAAAUGUACCGGGGCUAAAUACACCACCGAAGCUGCGGAUUGAUACCAAUGGUAUCAGUGGUAGGGGAGCGUUCUAAGGACAGUGAAGUCAGACCGGAAGGACUGGUGGAGUGCUUAGAAGUGAGAAUGCCGGUAUGAGUAGCGAAAGACGGGUGAGAAUCCCGUCCACCGAAUGCCUAAGGUUUCCUGAGGAAGGCUCGUCCGCUCAGGGUUAGUCAGGACCUAAGCCGAGGCCGACAGGCGUAGGCGAUGGACAACAGGUUGAUAUUCCUGUACCACCUCUUUAUCGUUUGAGCAAUGGAGGGACGCAGAAGGAUAGAAGAAGCGUGCGAUUGGUUGUGCACGUCCAAGCAGUUAGGCUGAUAAGUAGGCAAAUCCGCUUAUCGUGAAGGCUGAGCUGUGAUGGGGAAGCUCCUUAUGGAGCGAAGUCUUUGAUUCCCCGCUGCCAAGAAAAGCUUCUAGCGAGAUAAAAGGUGCCUGUACCGCAAACCGACACAGGUAGGCGAGGAGAGAAUCCUAAGGUGUGCGAGAGAACUCUGGUUAAGGAACUCGGCAAAAUGACCCCGUAACUUCGGGAGAAGGGGUGCUUUCUUAACGGAAAGCCGCAGUGAAUAGGCCCAAGCGACUGUUUAGCAAAAACACAGCUCUCUGCGAAGCCGUAAGGCGAAGUAUAGGGGGUGACACCUGCCCGGUGCUGGAAGGUUAAGGAGAGGGGUUAGCGUAAGCGAAGCUCUGAACUGAAGCCCCAGUAAACGGCGGCCGUAACUAUAACGGUCCUAAGGUAGCGAAAUUCCUUGUCGGGUAAGUUCCGACCCGCACGAAAGGUGUAACGAUUUGGGCACUGUCUCAACCAGAGACUCGGUGAAAUUAUAGUACCUGUGAAGAUGCAGGUUACCCGCGACAGGACGGAAAGACCCCGUGGAGCUUUACUGUAGCCUGAUAUUGAAUUUUGGUACAGUUUGUACAGGAUAGGCGGGAGCCUUUGAAACCGGAGCGCUAGCUUCGGUGGAGGCGCUGGUGGGAUACCGCCCUGACUGUAUUGAAAUUCUAACCUACGGGUCUUAUCGACCCGGGAGACAGUGUCAGGUGGGCAGUUUGACUGGGGCGGUCGCCUCCUAAAGUGUAACGGAGGCGCCCAAAGGUUCCCUCAGAAUGGUUGGAAAUCAUUCGUAGAGUGCAAAGGCAUAAGGGAGCUUGACUGCGAGACCUACAAGUCGAGCAGGGACGAAAGUCGGGCUUAGUGAUCCGGUGGUUCCGCAUGGAAGGGCCAUCGCUCAACGGAUAAAAGCUACCCCGGGGAUAACAGGCUUAUCUCCCCCAAGAGUCCACAUCGACGGGGAGGUUUGGCACCUCGAUGUCGGCUCAUCGCAUCCUGGGGCUGUAGUCGGUCCCAAGGGUUGGGCUGUUCGCCCAUUAAAGCGGUACGCGAGCUGGGUUCAGAACGUCGUGAGACAGUUCGGUCCCUAUCCGUCGUGGGCGUAGGAAAUUUGAGAGGAGCUGUCCUUAGUACGAGAGGACCGGGAUGGACGCACCGCUGGUGUACCAGUUGUUCUGCCAAGGGCAUAGCUGGGUAGCUAUGUGCGGAAGGGAUAAGUGCUGAAAGCAUCUAAGCAUGAAGCCCCCUCAAGAUGAGAUUUCCCAUAGCGUAAGCUAGUAAGAUCCCUGAAAGAUGAUCAGGUUGAUAGGUUCGAGGUGGAAGCAUGGUGACAUGUGGAGCUGACGAAUACUAAUAGAUCGAGGACUUAACCAU